AUUGAACGCUGGCGACAGGCCUAACUCAUGCAAGUCGAACGGUAACAGGAAGAAGCUUGCUUCUUUGCUGACGAGUGGCGGACGGGUGAGUAAUGUCUGGGAAACUGCCUGAUGGAGGGGGAUAACUACUGGAAACGGUAGCUAAUUCCGCAUAACGUCGCAAGACCAAAGAGGGGGACCUUCGGGCCUCUUGCCAUCGGAUGCGCCCAGAUGGGAUUAGCUAGUUGGUGGGGUAACGGCUCACCAAGGCGACGAUCCCUAGCUGGUCUGAGAGGAUGACCAGCCACACUGGAACUGAGACACGGUCCAGACUCCUACGGGAAGCAGCAGUGGGGAAUAUUGCACAAUGGGCGCAAGCCUGAUGCAGCCAUGCCGCGUGUAUGAAGAAGGCCUUCGGGUUGUAAAGUACUUUCAGCGGGGAGGAAGGGAGUAAAGUUAAUACCUUUGCUCAUUGGCGUUACCCGCAGAAGAAGCACCGGCUAACUCCGUGCCAGCCGCCGCGGUAA
rnacentral:rRNA from 1 species